rnacentral:rRNA from 1 species
GAUAAACGCUGGCGGCGCACAUAAGACAUGCAAGUCGAACGGACUUAAUUAGUAGCUUGCUACUAAAGCGGUUAGUGGCGGACUGGUGAGUAACACGUAAGUAAUCUGGCUAUUAGAGGGGAAUAACAAUGAGAAAUCAUUGCUAAUACCGCAUAUGCACACGUUAUCGCAUGGUAGAGUGUGGAAAGGAGUAAUCCACUAAUAGAUGAGCUUGCGGCUGAUUAGCUAGUAGGUUAGGUAAUGGCUGACCUAGGCAACGAUCAGUAGCCGGGCUGAGAGGCUCUACGGCCACAUUGGGACUGAGAUACGGCCCAGACUCCUACGGGAGGCAGCAGUCGGGAAUAUUGCGCAAUGGAGGAAACUCUGACGCAGUGACGCCGCGUAUGGGAAGAAGGUUUUCGGAUUGUAAACCAUUGUCGUGAGGGAAGAAAAAGACAGUACCUCAGGAGGAAGCUCCGGCUAACUAUGUGCCAGCAGCCGCGGUAAUACAUAGGGAGCAAGCGUUAUCCGGAUUUAUUGGGUGUAAAGGGUGCGUAGACGGGAUAUCAAGUUAGUUGUGAAAUCCCCAGGCUUAACCUGGGAACUGCAACUAAAACUGGUAUUCUUGAGUAUUGGAGGGGAAAGUGGAAUUCCUAGUGUAGCGGUGAAAUGCGUAGAUAUUAGGAGGAACACCGGCGGCGAAGGCGACUUUCUGGACAAAUACUGACGUUGAGGCACGAAAGUGUGGGGAGCAAACAGGAUUAGAUACCCUGGUAGUCCACACUGUAAACGAUGGAUACUAGGUGUUGGUUAUGAUAAAUAAUCAGUGCCGUCGCAAACGCAAUAAGUAUCCCACCUGGGGAGUACGACCGCAAGGUUGAAACUCAAAGGAAUUGACGGGGGCCCGCACAAGCAGUGGAGUAUGUGGUUUAAUUCGAAGCAACGCGAAGAACCUUACCAGGGCUUGACAUGGCACUGAAAGCUUAAGAGAUUAAGCCUCUCUUCGGAGCAGUGUCACAGGUGGUGCAUGGUUGUCGUCAGCUCGUGUCGUGAGAUGUUGGGUUAAGUCCCGCAACGAGCGCAACCCCUAUUGUUAGUUGCCAGCACGUUAAGGUGGGAACUCUAACAAGACUGCCGGUGAUAAAUCGGAGGAAGGUGGGGAUGACGUCAAAUCAUCAUGCCCUUUAUGUCCUGGGCUACACACGUACUACAAUGGCUAUAACAGAGGGAAGCAAUAUAGCAAUAUGGAGCAAAACCCUAAAUAUAGUCUCAGUUCGGAUAGAAGGCUGAAAUUCGCCUUCUUGAGGCUGGAAUUGCUAGUAAUGGCAGGUCAGCAUACUGCCGUGAAUACGUUCCCGGGC